rnacentral:rRNA from 1 species
AUACGGAGGGUCCAAGCGUUAUCCGGAAUCAUUGGGUUUAAAGGGUCCGCAGGCGGUCAAUUAAGUCAGAGGUGAAAGCCCAUCGCUCAACGAUGGAACUGCCUUUGAUACUGGUUGACUUGAGUUAUACGGAAGUAGAUAGAAUAAGUAGUGUAGCGGUGAAAUGCAUAGAUAUUACUUAGAAUACCGAUUGCGAAGGCAGUCUACUACGUAUAUACUGACGCUGAGGGACGAGAGCGUGGGGAGCGAACAGGAUUAGAUACCCUAGUAGUCC